rnacentral:rRNA from 1 species
UACAGAGGGGGCAAGCGUUGUUCGGAAUUACUGGGCGUAAAGGGCGCGUAGGCGGCCUUCUAAGUCGAACGUGAAAUCCCCGGGCUCAACCCGGGAACUGCGUCCGAUACUGGAAGGCUUGAAUCCGGGAGAGGGAUGCGGAAUUCCAGGUGUAGCGGUGAAAAUGCGUAGAUAUCUGGAGGAACACCGGUGGCGAAGGCGGCAUCCUGGACCAUUACUGACACUGAAAAGCGAAAGCCAGGGGAGCAAACGGG